AUGCUAACUUCGGUAGCACAUAUACUAAAAUUGGAACCAUAUAGAGAAGAUUAGCAUGGCCCCUGCACAAUGAUGACAGGAUACACAUUUAUCAUCUCCCUGGUUAA
ensembl:snRNA U6 U6 spliceosomal RNA